rnacentral:rRNA from 1 species
UACGGAGGUGGCAAGCGUUGCUCGGAAUUACUGGGCGUAAAGGGCUCGUAGGUGGCCAACUAAGUCGGACGUGAAAUCCCUCAGCUUAACUGGGGAACUGCGUCCGAUACUGGAUGGCUUGAGUUUGGGAGAGGGAUGCGGAAUUCCAGGUGUAGCGGUGAAAUGCGUAGAUAUCUGGAGGAACACCGGUGGCGAAGGCGGCAUCCUGGACCAACACUGACACUGAGGAGCGAAAGCCAGGGGAGCAAACGGG